ACCUGCAUUGCUUGCUGUUUGGGGUUUUAGGCUGGGUUUCUGUACAGCACUUUGAGAUAUCAGCUGAUGUACGAAGGGCUAUAUAAAUCAAUUUGAUUUGAUUUGAUGUUGGUCCGUAUGAACAGGAUGCAACCCGGAUACAGAUGGUCCAUGAAUCGGCGUAUGCAAACGUUAGUAGAUUACCUUGAAAACAACGGGCAGAAAUAUUGGACGUAGUCGCCAGAUCUUAUUUUACCUCAGGAGACUAGUCCUUCUUCAUGUGUUUUAGUGUCGACUACACCGGAAACAGUAUUGCCGGCACCUACUGGAUGCGAGAUGUAAAAAAAGGUGAAAUCCAAAAUGGAAAUAAACGACAACUUUUAAACCACUCAAACAACAAACAACUAAAUUCAAAGUAAAAAAAAUCUACUCCCAGCCAUACUCAGAUCCGGAGACCUGAGAGGACGGAACUGCUUCUCCAAUAAGUGUUCAGCAGCAGAUACGAUGACCUGAGAGGACUGAACUGCUUCUCCAGUCAGUACAGCAUGCAGCUCCUUACCCGAUAAGUGUUCAGCUACAGAUACGAU